rnacentral:lncRNA from 1 species
AAAAUGGCCUUGCUUAACUACAGUGAGAGUCCUUGAAAAAGUUGGACUAAAAGAUGGAGUGGACCACAAGUCGUAUCCACCAAAUACACCUUGGCUUUAGUCCAAGACUCAAAAGUUCUCUUCUGCCGUGUCUCUACAGUCUUGGACUUCUCAUUCUUCCUUGGCCUCGGGCUCAAGGAAAGGGUUUGGAUAUGCAGAAUGUACUCAAGCUCAAUGUCUAGGUGUACAGCUAUAGAACCUACUGUGCUAAGCGGCCUUGUGGAGUGAUCUUCUUACUAGUAAAAUUUGCACACCAAUAAUAAAACAAAGGUUGCAAAAUAAAGAGCUAUGGCAUCUGCAUAUACUGCUAGUUCAUGACAAACAUUUAUUGUCCAUCUCUUCAAAUUGAAAAGGUAAGCAGUAUCAAUUACCAAAAUUGAUCUAUCAUUUUUCAUAAUCCUUGUAAGAAGUCUAAUACCCAUCUUACCCAUUCUGUUAGAUAAAACAUACACAAAUGGUAAUGAAAGGAUAU